UAUUCAUGUUGUAUUUAUCUU
ensembl:piRNA 21ur-1904 ncRNA